GCCUUCCCCUCACCACCGCGUCAAUAUGCCAAGCUCAUCAUCUUGGAUCAGCAAGAACGAAAGUAGUGGAACAGCUUGAGAGCGCUCCUUGGUGACCCACCAGAACUUGAUGGUUGCUCAUGUUUCAGCGGAUGGUUCCCUAAAGCCACGCACAUACAAGCAGCACUAAUUGGGCAAAGGAGGAAGAGGAGGAGGAAGACAUGAGUUAGAGGGGAACAACAGAAGCCCAGUUUCCGGUGACAAUGUGGAGAGGCGGAAUGGAAUUGGGUUGUGGGAAGGUUCCAUCACCAGAAGGACUCCGUGUGCUUUUGAUGGGAUUCCAGUUACUUCCUACAAGAAGGGGAAGCCUGAGCUGGUCGUGGUGGUGCACACCUUCAAUGCCAGCCUUCUGAGGCUUAGGAAAAAAGAUUGAGGCCUGCCUGAGAUACACCUCGGGACCUUCCCUCUGACACCACCCCUCUGGGGAUGGCAGGGGCUACAACCUGCUCCUGAGCUUCUCUGGCUUCCUGACUCAUGUUUCCUGUCAUGUCAUCCUCCAUGAUGACUUCACUAGAGGCCAAACAGUCAUCUAAGGCAUGGUUUCAGACUCCAAUUGUAUGAGAUAAAUAAAUCUCUUUCCGUAACAAAUUUCCCAGUUCUAGUGUUUUGUUAUAAUGACAGAAAAUGGAUUAAUACAGAAGCCAAAAUCAAGGGCUGGGAAUGGUGCCACAUGCCUUUAAUCCCAGCAAAAGGGAAGCAGAGGCAGGUGGAUCUCUGUGAGUUGGAUGCUAUCCUGGACUACAUAAUGAGCUCCAGGACAGCCCAGACUGCUUAGAGACCCCACCCCCUUCUCGAAAAUCA